UACGGGGGGAGCAAGCGUUGUUCGGAUUUACUGGGCGUAAAGGGCGCGUAGGCGGCGCAACAAGUCACUUGUGAAAUCUCCGGGCUUAACCCGGAGCGGCCAAGUGAUACUGUCGUGCUAGAGUGCGGAAGGGGCUACUGGAAUUCUCGGUGUAGCGGUGAAAUGCGUAGUUAUCGAGAGGAACACCUGCGGCGAAGGCGGGUAGCUGGGCCGACACUGACGCUGAGGCGCGAAAGCCAGGGGAGCGAACGGG
rnacentral:rRNA from 1 species